GUUUGGUGGGAAGUCACUGAUAAGCAGAUUUGAAACUAAUUCAGCCAACUUAUCUACCUGACGGUGACCACAUCAAGAUUCUGCUUCUCUCCAGGAACACCAUGCGGACAAUGACAAACAUUUACUGUGGGAAACAUCUCAACAAGAUUUCAAUCGCUCACUUUGUGCCUUGGAAGCUUGGAACCAGUGUGACUAACCGUGGGUUCUUUAAUUUACAUUGAUGCAGUAGAAAAAGGUCUCACUGCUGUUACUGAAAGCUUGAUUGCGUCUCUAUGUCCAGUCAUUACAGACAAAUUGAUGAAGUCACAGUUUACAGUAGUAGCCAGGAUUCAUGACAAACUUUUUAAAGUGCUUGAUAAAUUGAUGUAUAUAAUCAUACACAACAGAAUGC